AGCUUCAUGCAGUGGCAGUAUCGUAACCAGUGAGGUUUAUCUGAGGCACAAUUAUUGCUAAUUGAAAACUUUUCUGAAUACGCUGCCAUAAUGACUUGAAAUAUACUCGGCAUUGGCAAUUUAAUUUUUGACAGUCUCUACAGAGA
ensembl:snRNA U4 U4 spliceosomal RNA